rnacentral:rRNA from 1 species
AACGAACGCUGGCGGCAUGCCUAACACAUGCAAGUCGAACGAGACCUUCGGGUCUAGUUGCGCACGGGUGCGUAACGCGUGGGAACCUGCCCGUAGGUUCGGAAUAACUCCCCGAAAGGGGUGCUAAUACCGGAUAAUGUCUUCGGACCAAAGAUUUAUCGCCUUUGGAUGGGCCCGCGUUGGAUUAGCUAGUUGGUAGGGUAAAAGCCUACCAAGGCGACGAUCCAUAGCUGGUCUGAGAGGAUGAUCAGCCACACUGGGACUGAGACACGGCCCAGACUCCUACGGGAGGCAGCAGUGGGGAAUAUUGGACAAUGGGCGAAAGCCUGAUCCAGCAAUGCCGCGUGAGUGAUGAAGGCCUUAGGGUUGUAAAGCUCUUUUACCCGGGAUGAUACUGACAGUACCGGGAGAAUAAGCUCCGGCUAACUCCGUG